CAAUAGCGUAUAUUAAAGUUGUUGCAGUUAAAAAGCUCGUAGUUGGAUUUCUGGUGAGAUGGAUUAUGUCUAGGUCGACAGAUCUUGUUCAUGGUUCGUUUUGCCCUUCUUGUCAGGAACCCGCUGAGAUUCGCGUCUUGUCGGUGGAAUGGCAUCGUUUACUGUGAAAAAAUUAGAGUGUUCAAAGCAGGCAUCGCCGUUGAAUACAUUAGCAUGGAAUAAUAAGAUAAGACUUUGGUGGUCUAUUUUGUUGGUUUGCACGCCAAAGUAAUGAUUAAUAGGGAUAGUUGGGGGUAUUCGUAUUCUAUUGCUAGAGGUGAAAUUCUUAAAUUUAUGGAAGACGAACUACUGCGAAAGCAUUUACCAAGGAUGUUUUCAUUAA
rnacentral:rRNA from 1 species